UCAGAAGUCGAUAAUGUUGGUUCAAAUAUGGAGUUUAGCCUUUUAGAAUGUCAAAAACUAAAUUAAACACUUUGAAAGAAUAUAUACAGUAAUACAUAAUGCUUGACAUACUACUUUAUUCGAACUGAAGUUUCUUUUUCUUUUUUAUUUUUUUCUUUUUUUGAGUAAAAUGCCAUUUUCAUGUCCAUGAGGUUUGACCAGUUUUCUGUAAAACCCUAACGAAGCUUUGAUCUUCGAAAUUUGCGAUUAUUGUUCGGUCAACCAAUCGAAAUAGUUUCAGAUUUCGCCAAAGAGAAUGCUAGAGUGAUGAUUUUUGGUGCAACUAAUCGUCCUUCAGAGCUUGAAAAAGCAAUAUUUAGUCGACUUCCUCAACCAUUUGAGAUAGAUUACCUAACCGGAAAGAAAGCGUUAGCAUUUUGAAGGUGAUUAAAAGUCAAGAGAUUAGAGGAAGGCAUUGAUCUUAACUGUACAGCUGCAUUAUGUGAAGGUUAUACUCUAAGGUCUUCUAGAGCUCUACAAUCAAGCUGUUUAUCUUCCCCUCCAGGAUUUAUUAGAUGAUGAGAAGAAGGGGAAGACAUGGUUUAGAAGACCUUGUGAAAGCAAGAUCAAUGUAUAGUCAUUCUUUAUAAUCAAUUUUCAAUUAAACUGUCUUUAACAUACUGUUUUAUAAAGAUAUGUAACUAAACGCAAACAAUUUAAAUGAUAUAUUAUAAUCUGUUUUUUAGUGUUUGA